rnacentral:lncRNA from 1 species
GAAGCUGUGGGCUGGGCCGUCGGAAAACUUUCAGUUUUGUUUCCUUGCCUGCAAGAAACGAAACUCAACCGAAAGCCUGCAGAGAGCAGAACAUGGAAGGAGACUUCUCGGUGUGCAGGAACUGUAAAAGACAUGUAGUCUCUGCCAACUUCACCCUCCAUGAGGCUUACUGCCUGCGGUUCCUGGUCCUGUGUCCGGAGUGUGAGGAGCCUGUCCCCAAGGAAACCACGGAGGAGCACUGCAAGGUGGAGCACCAGCAGGUGAGGAGGCGGCAGGGAGGAUGGGGUCUGAGAGUCAAGGCGAGUGUUCAGUCCUCCCUGCAGGAGAGAUGGGGUCUGAGAGGUGGGGGAUGAGGGUCUAGUCCUCCCUGCAGGUGAGAUGGGGUCUGGGAGUCAAGGUGAGUGUUCAGUCCUCCCUGCAGGAGAGAUGGG